rfam:Triticum aestivum genome assembly, contig: Triticum_aestivum_CS42_TGACv1_scaffold_407587_5BL
AAUCUACUCCCUCCGUCCGAAAAUACUUGUCCUCAAAAUGGUUGUGUCUAGACUUAAUUAUAGAUACAUUCAUUUUAUCCAUUUUGAGGACAAGUAUUUCCGGACGGAGGGAGUAGUAU